GAUAAACGCUGGCGGCGCACAUAAGACAUGCAAGUCGAACGAACUUAACCUCUUGCUUGCAAGAGGAGCGGUUAGUGGCGGACUGGUGAGUAACACGUAAGAAAUCUGCCUAUCAGAGGGGAAUAACAGUGAGAAAUCACUGCUAAUACCGCAUAUGCCAUAGGGUUCGCAUGAACCUAGUGGGAAAGAAGCAAUUCGCUGAUAGAUGAGCUUGCGGCUGAUUAGCUAGUUGGUGGGGUAAUGGCCUACCAAGGCAACGAUCAGUAGCCGGACUGAGAGGUUGAACGGCCACAUUGGGACUGAGAUACGGCCCAG
rnacentral:rRNA from 1 species